GCUGGGCAUGAUGGCACAUGCCUGUAAUCCCAGCUACUUGGGAGGCUGAGGCAGGAGAAUCGCUUGAACCUGGGAGGUGGAGGUUGCAGUGAGCUGAGAUCACGCCACUUCACUGCAGCCUGGGUGACAGAGCGAGACUCUGUCUCAA
rnacentral:SRP_RNA from 1 species